rnacentral:rRNA from 1 species
CUAAAAGAUGGGUCUGCGUCUGAUUAGCUAGUUGGUGAGGUAAUGGCUCACCAAGGCGACGAUCAGUAGCCGGUCUGAGAGGAUGAACGGCCACACUGGGACUGAGACACGGCCCAGACUCCUACGGAGGCAGCAGUGGGGAAUCUUCCGCAAUGGACGAAAGUCUGACGGAGCAACGCCGCGUGAGUGAAGAAGGUUUUCGGAUCGUAAAACUCUGUUUUCAGGGACGAAUGUGCGAUGUGUAAAUAAUGCAUUGUAAUGACGGUACCUGAGUAGAAAGCCACGGCUAACUACGUGCCAGCAGCCGCGGUAAUACGUAGGUGGCAAGCGUUGUCCGGAAUUAUUGGGCGUAAAAGCGCGCGCAGGUGGGAUAUUAAGUCUGGUGUUAAAGUUCGGGGGCUCAACCCCCGUGAAGCAUUUGGAAAACUGAUAUUCUUGAGUGCAGGAGAGGC